rnacentral:rRNA from 1 species
CCUACGGGAGGCUGCAGUGAGGAAUAUUGGUCAAUGGCCGAGACGCUGAACCAGCCAAGUCGCGUGAGGGAAGACGGCCCUACGGGUUGUAACCCUCUUUUGUCGGGGAGCAAAGCGAGGCACGUGUGACUCAUUGAGAGUACCCGUAGAAAAAGCCUCGGCUAACUACGUGCCAGCAGCCGCGGUAAUACGGAGGAUGCGAGCGUUAUCCGAGUUUAUUGGGUUUAAUGGGUGCGCAGGCGAAGGUGCAAGUCCGCGGGCAAGUUGCGGGGCGCAACCCCGUACUGCCGUUGAAACUGCAUCCCUUGAGUGCGCGAGAGGUAUGCGGAAUGCGUGGUGUAGCGGUGAAAUGUAUAGAUAUCACGCAGAACUCCGAUUGCGAAGGCAGCAUACCGGCGCGCAAAUGACGCUCAUGCACGAAAGCGUGGGUAUCGAACAGGAUUAGAUACCCCAGUAGUC